rnacentral:rRNA from 1 species
GGUUAAGCGACUAAGCGUACACGGUGGAUGCCCUGGCAGUCAGAGGCGAUGAAGGACGUGCUAAUCUGCGAUAAGCGUCGGUAAGGUGAUAUGAACCGUUAUAACCGGCGAUUUCCGAAUGGGGAAACCCAGUGUGAUUCGUCACACUAUCAUUAACUGAAUCCAUAGGUUAAUGAGGCGAACCGGGGGAACUGAAACAUCUAAGUACCCCGAGGAAAAGAAAUCAACCGAGAUUCCCCCAGUAGCGGCGAGCGAACGGGGAGCAGCCCAGAGCCUGAAUCAGUGUGUGUGUUAGUGGAAGCGUCUGGAAAGGCGCGCGAUACAGGGUGACAGCCCCGUACACAAAAAUGCACAUACUGUGAGCUCGAUGAGUAGGGCGGGACACGUGGUAUCCUGUCUGAAUAUGGGGGGACCAUCCUCCAAGGCUAAAUACUCCUGACUGACCGAUAGUGAACCAGUACCGUGAGGGAAAGGCGAAAAGAACCCCGGCGAGGGGAGUGAAAAAGAACCUGAAACCGUGUACGUACAAGCAGUGGGAGCCUCUUUUAUGGGGUGACUGCGUACCUUUUGUAUAAUGGGUCAGCGACUUAUAUUCUGUAGCAAGGUUAACCGAAUAGGGGAGCCGAAGGGAAACCGAGUCUUAACCGGGCGUUAAGUUGCAGGGUAUAGACCCGAAACCCGGUGAUCUAGCCAUGGGCAGGUUGAAGGUUGGGUAACACUAACUGGAGGACCGAACCGACUAAUGUUGAAAAAUUAGCGGAUGACUUGUGGCUGGGGGUGAAAGGCCAAUCAAACCGGGAGAUAGCUGGUUCUCCCCGAAAGCUAUUUAGGUAGCGCCUCGUGAAUUCAUCUCCGGGGGUAGAGCACUGUUUCGGCAAGGGGGUCAUCCCGACUUACCAACCCGAUGCAAACUGCGAAUACCGGAGAAUGUUAUCACGGGAGACACACGGCGGGUGCUAACGUCCGUCGUGAAGAGGGAAACAACCCAGACCGCCAGCUAAGGUCCCAAAGUCAUGGUUAAGUGGGAAACGAUGUGGGAAGGCCCAGACAGCCAGGAUGUUGGCUUAGAAGCAGCCAUCAUUUAAAGAAAGCGUAAUAGCUCACUGGUCGAGUCGGCCUGCGCGGAAGAUGUAACGGGGCUAAACCAUGCACCGAAGCUGCGGCAGCGACACUGUGUGUUGUUGGGUAGGGGAGCGUUCUGUAAGCCUGUGAAGGUGUACUGUGAGGUAUGCUGGAGGUAUCAGAAGUGCGAAUGCUGACAUAAGUAACGAUAAAGCGGGUGAAAAGCCCGCUCGCCGGAAGACCAAGGGUUCCUGUCCAACGUUAAUCGGGGCAGGGUGAGUCGACCCUAAGGCGAGGCCGAAAGGCGUAGUCGAUGGGAAACAGGUUAAUAUUCCUGUACUUGGUGUUACUGCGAAGGGGGGACGGAGAAGGCUAUGUUGGCCGGGCGACGGUUGUCCCGGUUUAAGCGUGUAGGCUGGUUUUCCGAGGCAAAUCCGGAAAAUCAAGGCUGAGGCGUGAUGACGAGGCACUACGGUGCUGAAGCAACAAAUGCCCUGCUUCCAGGAAAAGCCUCUAAGCAUCAGGUAACAUCAAAUCGUACCCCAAACCGACACAGGUGGUCAGGUAGAGAAUACCAAGGCGCUUGAGAGAACUCGGGUGAAGGAACUAGGCAAAAUGGUGCCGUAACUUCGGGAGAAGGCACGCUGAUAUGUAGGUGAAGUCCCUCGCGGAUGGAGCUGAAAUCAGUCGAAGAUACCAGCUGGCUGCAACUGUUUAUUAAAAACACAGCACUGUGCAAACACGAAAGUGGACGUAUACGGUGUGACGCCUGCCCGGUGCCGGAAGGUUAAUUGAUGGGGUCAGCGCAAGCGAAGCUCUUGAUCGAAGCCCCGGUAAACGGCGGCCGUAACUAUAACGGUCCUAAGGUAGCGAAAUUCCUUGUCGGGUAAGUUCCGACCUGCACGAAUGGCGUAAUGAUGGCCAGGCUGUCUCCACCCGAGACUCAGUGAAAUUGAACUCGCUGUGAAGAUGCAGUGUACCCGCGGCAAGACGGAAAGACCCCGUGAACCUUUACUAUAGCUUGACACUGAACAUUGAGCCUUGAUGUGUAGGAUAGGUGGGAGGCUUUGAAGUGUGGACGCCAGUCUGCAUGGAGCCGACCUUGAAAUACCACCCUUUAAUGUUUGAUGUUCUAACGUGGACCCGUGAUCCGGGUUGCGGACAGUGUCUGGUGGGUAGUUUGACUGGGGCGGUCUCCUCCUAAAGAGUAACGGAGGAGCACGAAGGUUGGCUAAUCCUGGUCGGACAUCAGGAGGUUAGUGCAAUGGCAUAAGCCAGCUUGACUGCGAGCGUGACGGCGCGAGCAGGUGCGAAAGCAGGUCAUAGUGAUCCGGUGGUUCUGAAUGGAAGGGCCAUCGCUCAACGGAUAAAAGGUACUCCGGGGAUAACAGGCUGAUACCGCCCAAGAGUUCAUAUCGACGGCGGUGUUUGGCACCUCGAUGUCGGCUCAUCACAUCCUGGGGCUGAAGUAGGUCCCAAGGGUAUGGCUGUUCGCCAUUUAAAGUGGUACGCGAGCUGGGUUUAGAACGUCGUGAGACAGUUCGGUCCCCUAUCUGCCGUGGGCGCUGGAGAACUGAGGGGGCUGCUCCUAGUACGAGAGGACCGGAGUGGACGCAUCACUGGUGUUCGGGUUGUCAUGCCAAUGGCACUGCCCGGUAGCUAAAUGCGGAAGAGAUAAGUGCUGAAAGCAUCUAAGCACGAAACUUGCCCCGAGAUGAGUUCUCCCUGACCCUUUAAGGGUCCUGAAGGAACGUUGAAGACGACGACGUUGAUAGGCCGGGUGUGUAAGCGCAGCGAUGCGUUGAGCUAACCGGUACUAAUGAACCGUGAGGCUUAACCUU